UGAGGGAUAACUGCCUGAAAAGGUAGCUAAUACCGCAUAUGAUCUUCGGAUUAAAGCUUUUUAGCGCUUUGGGAGGAGCCCGCGUCGGAUUAGACUGUUGGUGAGGUAAAGGCUCACCAAGUCGACGAUCCGUAGCUGGUCUGAGAGGAUGAUCAGCCAGACUGGGACUGAGACACGGCCCAGACUCCUACGGGAGGCAGCAGUAAGGAAUCUUCCACAAUGGGCGAAAGCCUGAUGGAGCAACGCCGCGUGCAGGAUGAAGGCCUUCGGGUUGUAAACUGCUUUUAUAAGUGAGGAAUAUGACGGUAACUUAUGAAUAAGGAUCGGCUAACUACGUGCCAGCAGCCGCGGUCAUACGUAGGAUCCGAGCGUUAUCCGGAGUGACUGGGCGUAAAGAGUUGCGUAGGCGGUCUACAAAGUGAAUAGUGAAACCUGGUGGCUCAACCACACAGACUAUUAUUCAAACUCGUAGACUCGAGAAUGGUAGAGGUCACUGGAAUUUCUUGUGUAGGAGUGAAAUCCGUAGAUAUAAGAAGGAACACCAAUGGCGUAGGCAGGUGACUGGACCAUUUCUGACGCUAAGGCACGAAAGCGUGGGGAGCGAACCGGAUUAGAUACCCGGGUAGUCCACGCCGUAAACGAUGGAUACUAGCUGUAGGGGGUAUCGACCCCUUCUGUAGCGAAGCUAACGCGUUAAGUAUCCCGCCUGUGGAGUA
rnacentral:rRNA from 1 species